CCACCACCGACACCAUCAUCGCCACCACCACCACCACCACCACCACCACCGUCGCCGCCAACAUCAGCGACUAUCUUCAACAUCGACAUCACCAGCCUUUACACCACGCCCACUAACAAUGCCUUAACCGCCACCACCAACACCACCACCACCACCGCCACCACUCCAUAAUUACAACUCUUCCCACACCUCCAGUAUAAUCAUUACCGCCGUCACUAUAACCACCACCACCACCACCACCACCACCACCCUCCACCAUCACCACUAUUAUAAGUGCAAUCUUGCACCACCGCCACCACCACCCCUUAAUCAACAUACCAUUACAACGAUAGUCAACACUACCACCACCAUCGACACCAUCAACAACAAAAACAACACCACCACCACCACCACCAGCACCAUCACCACCACGACUACUACCGCCACCGUUACAAUCACACCACCACCACCACCACCACAACCAUCACUAUAGUUAUACACACACCAUCCAAACGGUCUGAAAAAACAUGGUAGUUAACCACUCAUGUUAAGCGGUGGUUUACACCUGUCACGAUAUUUCUUUUAGAACUUCACUUCGAUUUUGCAAUCGGAGUUUGAGGUUUAAAUUCUACAUGCGAAGACACUGUCACACUUUAUCUAUUUUUCGUCCUGGUUUCUCAACAGUUUUUAACCAACUGGAUUACGCUGGAUUAAACUGGAUUUAGGUGAGUUGAUUAAUGUAACUUAAUAAUUUACAUUUCGGCUUCUUUCUCAAAACAUCAAUCAAAAAAAAUUUCAUCAAAUAUUUUGUAUUUGUCUUUCAUUUUUGUCGAAGUUCUCUCAAUAAUGGAUUGACAGAGGCGAAACAUUUCUUACUUGUUCUGUUAUGUCACCGAAAACUUCGUCAUCGGAUUCUUUUAUGCAGUUUUAUUUUCUGGGAAACACAAAGUUUUGUCUAAUAUUUUCGUUGUCAAAGUUUAUAAAAUAAUAAUAAUGAAAUUAUUGUAUACAGUGCUCAGGUGCACCACAAUGUUAGUGUGUACGCCUUGUCGCGAGAGGUGGGAAGAACGUACACCGUUAACAUUAUUAUGCCGCCGAAAACUGUGUAUUUGGAUCAACUUGUGAAAAUAUUCCUGGUAAGAAGGAAUUUUAAUAGUUGGACACCAGUGAAUUCCUCCAAAAUUUUUAUUUUCAUAUCGCAGAGGAUAAAUACAUAAAUGUCUUAUAAAUGCACUCACAGAUAUAAAAACAUGCAUAUACAUACAUGCAAACGUAAAUACAUAUAUAGACGCGCGUGUAUACACACACGUGUGUAUAUAUAUAUAUAUAUAUAUAUAUAUAAAGUUAUAUAUAUAUAAUAGCAAGAAUAAUGAACAUUAACUAUAGGCACAGGGCUAGCAAUUUCGGGGCAGAGGGAAGGUCAAUGACAUCGACCCCUAAAGGAUGAAAGGCAAAGACGACCUCGGCUAGAAUUUGAACUCAGAAUGUUAAGGCGGGCGAAAUGCUGCUCUAUGCAUUUUGCCCGGCGUGUUAACCAUUCUGCCACCUCGCCGCCUUUACCAAACAGGAAUGUCACCUGUACUCGUUCCUUUCAGCCUCGUCCACCAGGUAACCUCUUUUUUGUGCCACAGCAAGCAGACAAAGGAAAUAAUAAUCAUUUCUGUUAUAAGCAUAAGGCCUGAAAUUUGGGAGACGGGGGAUAGUCGAACAUAUUGACCCCCAGUACUCGACUGGUACUUAUUUUAUGGACUCCCGAAACGAUGAAAGAUAAAGUCGACCCCGGCGGCAUUUGAACUCAGAACGUGAUGGCAGGCGAAAUGCCGCUAAGCAUUUCAUCCGGCGUGCUAACGAUUCUGCCAGCUCGCCGCCUUCAAUAAUAAUAAUAAUAAUAAUAAUAAUAAUAAUAAUAAUAAUAAUAAUGAUAAUAAUAAUAAUAAUAAUAAUAAUAAUAAUAAUCAGGUACCUUUUCGGUGGGAUGGGCUACUCGACCAGAAGAAAGUUCUAAUUGGACCCCACCUGCAAAAUCAUGCGCUGUUUAUCUUGAUAUAAGAUCACCACGUCGCGCACAUAUGGUUGUAAUGCAUGUGCCUGGCGUACCCUUAUCAGAUGGGUAGUCAUGAUGGGUAUACGGGACUUUGUAUACUUGUAACCGGGCGUUACAUUGAUGGCAUGCACUGCUCUCUCACUCAAUAAUAAUAAUAAUAAUAAUAAUAACUGGUUCCGAUAUUGGUAAAUGGCCUGAGAUUUAGUGGAGUGGGGGUGGGCUAUUUGAUUAAAUCGAUCCCACAGUACAUGACUGGUAUUUUAUUUAAUCGAAUCCGAAAAGAUGAGACGCAACGUUAACGUCGGAUAUCUACACACACGUAAAUGUACGUGUAUAUGUGCAUGUAUGUUUACAUUAUAUAUAUAUAUAUAUAUAUAUAUAUAUAUAUAUACACACACACACACACACACAUAUAUAUAUAGAGAGAGAUACACGUGUGUGUGUAUGUAGAAAUUUAUAGUCAUACAUGCAUGCAUAUGUGCAUGCAUAAAUUCACUGUUGAAUACAUAACCAUGCAUACAUAGACAAGUAUAUAUAUAUAUAUAUAUAUAUGUGUGCAUGUGUGUGAGUGUGUAUAUGGAUGCAUGCACAUAAACCCGUGUGUGUGUAUAUUAGGAGACCCCCUUCGGUCAUGAAUAACUAUGGGAUUGCACCUAGAAAGUUACCCUCCGAGGCACAAGUCUGUGUAUAUAUAUAUAUAUAUAUAUAUAUAUAUAAAUGUAUAAAUGUAUAAAUGUGUGUAUAUAUGUAUAAAUAAAAAUACAUGCAUUCUAAUAUACAGUGUGGAAAAGUGUGCACACAUGUACACACAAAUUUACACACACACACCUACAUAUACACUUGCAUACAUAGACAUAUAAACAUUCACACGAACAACUAAAUACGUUAGACCAGUGCUUUUCAAACUUUUUGCUGGAGCGGCACCCCAAGGAAACAUUCCACUGGCUCGAGGAACCCCUGUGCAAUAAUUUAAUAGUCUUAUGCACAGGAGAAUUAAAAAUUACUGCCGAUUUUAGCAGUUUUGUAACUUCCCUGGACUGUACUGCGUUAGACAUACAGUUAAUUCAUAAAUACAUACACACACGCAAACACAUUGAAACGUGUAUGUAUACAAACAAUACAUACAGGUAGUUGUAUGGCUUGAUUAUUGACAGUCGGCGGUGAGCUGGCAGAGACGUUAGCAUGCCGGGUGAAAUGCGUAACCGUAUUUCGCCUGCCGUUACGUUCUGAGUUCAAAUUCCGCCGAGGUCGACUUUGCCUUUCAUCCUUUCGGGGUCGAUUAAAUAAAGUACCAGUUUCGCACUGGGGUUGAUGUAAUCGACUUAAUCCGUUUGUCUGUCCUUGUUUGUCCCCUCUAUGUUAGCCCCUUGUGGGUAGUAAAGAAAUAUAUGGCUUGAUUAUUGAUAUCGUCAUCAUCGUCAUCAUCAUCGUCAUUAUCAUCAUCAUCGUCAUUAACGACAACCCACACAUAAUACGUGUGGCUACCCGCCAGAAGGACCUCUUCUAUCUUCAAACGACAAACUUUGUGAGUGGUGGUCAGCUAUGUCUCUCACUCUCCCUUUUUUCCUUCUCGUUUCUUUCCUUCCUUCCUUCCUUCCUUCUUUCUUUUGCUCUCCUUCUUUCUUUCUUUCUUUCUCAAACACACAUAUACCGGAAUCGGCCCCGAAGGACGAAAAGUAAUAUCGACAUAGGUAGGAUUUGAACUCAGACCGCAGCGCCGGAACAGAUACCACAUUGCAUUCGAUUUGUUGUUACUCUAUGCCGCCCUACGCUCUCUUCAACCACACCAAGGGGUACCUAACAUAUCCAUCCUACCCCAGCAACGCCAUCUACGCUGGUUCGGUCACGUAUAUCGUAUGCCGGGUGGGAGGAUUCCAAGGGACCUUUUAUGGACUGAAACAAUCAUUUUGUAAAGAAAAUCAAGAUUCACUUUAAAUUCCUUCCAUAUUGACUAACUUUGCAUGCAGUCCCUGUCUCCUGACAAAGUGGGGAAUAUUGUAUAAAUGGGAUCCCUGGGCGUCUCACCUAUAACCACACCGCUGGGGAAAGUUUAUAUUGUUGCAGUUUUAUAGUAAGUAAAGACUACAUAUACCCUUUUACCGGUUUCAGUCAUUUGACUGCGGCCAUGCUGGAGCACCGCCUUUAGUCGAGCAAAUAGACCCCCAGGACUUAUUCUUUGUAAGCCUAGUACUUAUUCUUUCGGUCUCUUUUUGCCAAACCGCUGAGUUACAGGGACAUAAACACACCACCAUCGGUUGUCAAGCGAUGUUGGGAGGACAAACACAGACACACAAACACUUACAAACACACACACACAAACACACACACACACACACACACACACACACACACACACACACAUAUAUAUAUGUAUGUAUAUAUACGACGGGCUUCUUUCAGUUUCCGUCUACCAAAUCCACUCACAAGGCUUUGGUCGGCCUGAGGCUAUAGCAGAAGACGCUUGCCCAAGGUUCCAUGCAGUGGGACUGAACCCGGAACCAUAUGGUUGGUAAGCAAGCUACUUACCACACAGCCACUCCUGCACCUAUAUGUGGUAUUAAAAAAAAAAUUCACUGCAAUCUAUUCGGCAUGAACAUUAUUAUGUUAUAUUGAACUUAAUCGUAAUAGAAAACUUAAUAUACAACAUCAAAGUCGAGCAAUUCACAAUGGAUCGUCUGUUUAGACUUUGAGUGACUUAAUGCCGACCCCAGCUUCACAUUGGUUGCGUUACAUUGGAAAUAUUGUUUUAAGAGUAUUUGGAAAAUUCCCCUACAGUUCUGUCUACCACAAAACAUUUUGUACAAGUUGUUUUGUCUCAUAAACUUUGUGUUACCGAACGUAUACGAAACUAUCGAUGAAUUUGCUACUUAUGGAAAUGUUAUAAGUGUGUCUUGCUAACAUAUUACGUAAAAACUCAUCAAUGAAGUCUCUGCAUGUCUUUUAAAACUCGAUGGUAGAAUACUGGAGAGAUUUUAGAAGAGAAUCCGCUAGCCAUAAGAUUUUCCCGUAAGAAAUGUAAUUUUAUCUUUAGUCUGUGAUUGCAGCUCAAGAAAAUUAGAAUCCAUUUGAGACGAUUUUGUCGGUGGAUUCUAUUAAACACAACCGUUUAUCCGUUUGGGUUUAAUGAAAAACAAAACCCUUAAAAAAAUUUGUGUUUUAUUUGCUCAGACAAGAACUCUUUUUUCAGUUCAAAGAAAUUCAGAAAUAUGAAGUCAAACUAUUUAAUUAAAUCCAGCUACAUCCGAUCAAACCAUACCUCGUGGAAACAGCUGGCAAAGACCAUUAAUAAUUGCAGAAAUGGUAAUGUUUACACAAGGAAAGACUAAAUAAAACCUGGAACUCAUUGGCGAUAUUAAGAAAAUAUCGAUUCUUGAUGAUACUAGGAAGGGACACUUUGAAGUCGAUGUUUUGCCGUUCAAAAGCCUGGGUGACUUUUAUGAGAUGUGUUUUGUCUGAUUGGUAAAAUUUUAGUUUGUAUUCUACGCAUAAUUUAUAUGAACCAAAUACUUGGAGACAUCCUCUGCGGAGUAUAAAUUAAGAAUUUUAUCCGUAGCGUUAUUCAAUAAAUCUUCAUAAAUUUGUGGGAUUGAACUUGGAACCAUGCAUAUAGUUGCAUAUCGAGACAUACUCUUUACUCUCUCUCUCACUUGUUUCCGUCAUUUGACUGUGGCCAUGCUGGAGCACCACCUCUAGUCGAGCAAAUCGACCCCAGGGCUUAUUCUUUGCAAGCCUAGUACUUAUUCCAUCGGUCUCUUUUGCCGAACUGCUAAGUUACGGGGACGCAAACACACCAGCAUCGGUUGUGAAGCGAUGUUGGGGGGACAAACACACACACACACACACACACACAAACAUAUAUACACACACACACACACACACACACACAUAUAUAUAUAUAUAUAUAUAUAUAUAUAUAUAUAUAUAUAUAUACAUAUAUACGACGGGCUUCUUUCAGUUUCCGUCUAACAAAUCCACUCACAAGGCUUUGGUCGGCCCGAGGCUAUAGCAGAAGACACUUGCCCACGGUGCCACGCAGUGGGACUGAACCCGGAACCAUGUGGUUGGUAAGCAAGCUACUGCUCAUAUAUUUUAAAUGAUAAACUUCUGGAAAGUUUUAUAGAUUUUUACACUUACGGAUGUGCAUCCAUAAACGGAACAAAUUACAAAAAUUGUGUGUGUGUAUGUGUGCGUUUGUGUGUGUGCGUAUGUACGUGUGUGUGAGUAUGUGUGUGUUUGUGAGCAUGUGUGAGAGCGUGUGUGUGUAUGUGUGUGUAUGAGUGUGUGCGUGUGUGUGUGUGUAGUGAUGGUGAGUUACAUAGAAAUGAAACAAAAUUUAAAAAAAACAACAGAAGUUUACACAUGAAUGAGGAAACCCCUGGAGUGGGGUGAGCGCUUCCUCGGGCCAACCCUUCCCUGCCCUAUCGGUGCAGAUUGAAAGUAGUUCCAUUCAUUCGGCCCACAUUCACCACUGUCACUUUGUAGCAAUUUUGCUGAAGGACGUCUCCAAUCUAACCUUCAUCUUAUCGAUAUUUUAAAGCAUAACUUGGAGAAGUUAAUGAGGACUUGUCCAAAGAGAGAGAGAGAGAUGUUGGUAUGCUUCUAGUUCUUUUAGUCAUAUCAACCAUAGAACCUGUAUGAUGGUUGCGAAUAAGGAACUUCUUAGAGAAAGAAAGUCUAUGGAACUCAUAUGAACUUCAAAUUGCGAUACAAAAUAAUAUGGGACUUCAGAAUAACAGAUAAGAAUGGCCGUCACUUCCAAGCGAGCAUGGCUUGGUAGCUUGUAUCAUGCUUUCGCUUAUUGUUUUAGCAUUAAGAUCCUUCCCGAGUCAUUUAAACUCCUAGGACCAGUUUCCUGGUUUCUGUGGGGCAUAUAGUCUUCCUCCGGACGGGACGCUGAUCCGUUGCAGGAAUUGCUGAUUUUGCCAGCUGAGUGGACUGGGGCUGAGUGAAAUGAAGUGUUUUGCAGAAGAACACAACUCAUCAUCCAAUCCAGGAUUCGAAACCACAGUCUUACGAUCGUGAGUCCAAUACUUUAACCACUGAGCUAUGCGCUUCCACGCUCUGUCAAGAUCAGACCGUCGCACCCCUUGGCCCUCCCACACUUGAACCAGCGGAACAGCGAGCAGGUAACAGCUGGAGAGAGAGAAAGGGCUGCACCAGUACGAAGCCUGAAUUACUUUCAGUUGAUUAGACCGGGGCAACGGGAAAUGCCCGGUCCAGGAAUCGAACUCACGGUCUUAUCAACGUGGGCUCAACACUCUUAACCCAGAAAGCACGCGCCUAAUAUGCUAACUAACUCAUAACACAAUUUUGAUUUUAUUCUCCAGGUAUGGCUGAGUGGUUAAGACGUUCGCUUUGUCACCGUGUGGAUUUGGGUUCGGUGCCACUGCGCGGCGCCUUGGAUUAGUGUCUUCUACAAUAGCCCAGGGCCAACCAAUGCCCUGCGAUUCAAUCUGAUGGAACCGGAGAAAACCCGU
rnacentral:lncRNA from 1 species